rnacentral:rRNA from 1 species
GUGAGGAAUUUUCCGCAAUGGGCGAAAGCCUGACGGAGCAAUGCCGCGUGAAGGAUGAAGGCCUAUGGGUUGUAAACUUCUUUUCUCAGAAAAGAAUUAUGACGGUAUCUGAGGAAUAAGCAUCGGCUAACUCUGUGCCAGCAGCCGCGGUAAGACAGAGGAUGCAAGCGUUGUCCGGAAUGAUUGGGCGUAAAGCGUCUGUAGGUUGUUUAAAAAGUAUUCUGUCAAAGAUUAGGGCUUAACUCUAGAUAGGCAGAAUAAACUUUUAAGCUAGAGUUUGGUAGAGGCAGAGGGAAUUCCCGGUGGAGCGGUGAAAUGCGUAGAUAUCGGGAGGAACACCAAAGGCGAAGGCACUCUGCUGGGCCAAUACUAACACUGAGAGACGAAAGCGAGGGGAGCAAAUGGGAUUAGAAACCCCGGUAGUCC